rnacentral:rRNA from 2 species
GACGAGGGAUCCUAGCGUUGUUCGGAAUCAUUGGGCGUAAAGCGGGUGUAGGCGGACUUAUAAGUCAGGUGUGAAAUCCCAGGGCUCAACCCUGGAAGUGCAUUUGAUACUGUAAGUCUUGAAUGUGGUAGAGGUUACUGGAAUUGCUGGUGUAGUGGUGAAAUACGUAGAUAUCAGCAGGAACACCGGAGGCGAAGGCGGGUAACUGGGCCAACAUUGACGCUGAGACCCGAAAGCGUGGGGAUCAAACAGG